AACGGCCGCGGUAUUUUGACCGUGCAAAGGUAGCGCAAUCACUUGUCUUUUAAAUGAAGACCUGUAUGAAUGGCAAGACGAGGGCUAGACUGUCUCCUUUUCCCAGUCAAUGAAAUUGAUCUACCCGUGCAGAAGCGGGGAUAAAAUUAUAAGACGAGAAGACCCUAUGGAGCUUUAGACACUAGGAAGCCCACGUCCAACAACUUUCUAUAAAAGGAAAAACUUAAUGGCACCUUACCUACUUGUCUUCGGUUGGGGCGACCGCGGGGGAUAAACCAGCCCCCAUGUGGAAUAGGGAUAUUUUCCUAAAACCAAGAAAUACUUUUCUAAGUAACAGAAAUUCUGACCAAAAUGAUCCGGCAAAGCCGAUCAACGGACCCAGUUACCCUAGGGAUAACAGCGCAAUCCCCUUCCAGAGUCCCUAUCGACGAGGGGGUUUACGACCUCGAUGUUGGAUCAGGACAUCCUAAUGGUGCAACCGC
rnacentral:rRNA from 1 species